GAGCAGCUGUGGGACUGGCGGGUGGCGGAGAUUUGUCCUAACUGUGGGCAAGGCAGGAAAACUCUAGCUACAGCCAAGGAUGAUUUGAGUCCUGGUUUAAUUCAUCCCCAUGGUUAACUACCUUGAUUUCUACCCGGUUAAGACCCCUCCUCAUAUUAGUUUUGCUUCUCAGCUUUGGGCCUUGCAUAUUGAACAAAUUAGUACAAUUCAUGAAAAAAGUCUAGGAACUAUUCAAUUAAUGUUAAUGAGAUCCCAAUACUAACUGCUGUUAGUAGAAACCAGGGAGGCCUUGGUGGAGUUAUGGGACAUGACAGUUCCAUGAUUGGGACCCUCAGGGUCCAGUCAGAGGGGGGGAAUAUGAAGGCAAUAUGAAAGCCUAGACUUGACUUUACAGACUCCAUCUUAGGGAAGGACCACCAUCUUAGAUCUCCUGGUGACUGGAGGUUGUACUCAGUUCCAGGAAGAUUCUCAGAAAUGUGCCUUAACUACUUGAACAGAUACCCUAGAAGCAGCCAAUUAAGAAAUAGGGUAGUAAAGUUUAACAAGAUCCAGACAUUCCUGCAGAUAUCCUGUCUGUGAUUUAUGGCCCUUGCAGAUAUCCAGAUAAUCUUAUCAGUGGGUUACAUUUCCACACCAAAAGUCUAACCCAAUAGUUUCAAAAAAAUCACCUUGCCCCAUAUCCCUUUUACUCAAUCUCAAAAUGCCAAGGAAUGUAAUUCCCAGCUUGUGGAUUUUUUUUUCCCUUUAGAAACCCUCCUAUCCCUGAGCCCCUGGCCACUACUGCAUUUCCCUCCAUCUGCUUAGUUGGAGCAUAGGGUGGUGGUCAAGGUUCAAACCUGAAAAUAAAAAGCCCUUGUGUGCUUGCAUGGGAAACUGGCUCCUUGGUAGUCUCUGGGUGAUUUGAGACAUGGAUACAACAGGAAAGUGUUAAGUUAGGGUUGACGUUAUGAUUAUGUUUUCACAGGAGAUAAUAAAUUGUGGAUCCCAUCAAACUUCAUAAAAAUUCACAAGAGCAAGUGACAUCUCCAAGAUACUUCAGAAGCAGAGAUAUCUCUGUCAAACUUGAUGCACAGGAGACUUUUGGUGCAAACAACUAAUCCUCUCACCUGGGCACAGCUUAUGAAUUUGUGUGACAAAGGAGAGACAAUACUUCACAUGAUUCACAAGCCUCUAAAUGCUACAAACUUAUUUCUUGCCAUGCUCUCCAUGGCGAUAGUGCAGAAAGAAUAUUAAAGAACAUGUUGAAUGGUUGGACUGGUUGUUGGAGUUAUUAUGGGAAUCAUUGCAUUGAUAGCUACAGCAGCAUCAGCUGGAGUGCCACUUCAUAAAGAAAUCCAAACCACUGAAUUCAUUAGAGACUGGCAUAAACAUUCAGAAGAACUUCAGACUGAAACAAAAUAAGAUUGAUAAUGAGAUAGUAAAUGAAUUAGCUGGGUUAAGGCAAGCUAUUGUUUUGUUAGGUGAUCAGUUAGAAAUUUUGAAGGAGCAGAUAAAAUUAAAAUGUGAUUGGAAUGUUUCUUAUUGUAUCACACACUUAAGAUUAAAUGAAAGCUAGUAUGACUGGGAUAAGUUUAAGAUGUAUUUGUUGGGUCACCCUAAUUGUUCUCUAAUGGUUUGUGAUUUACAGAAAGAAAUUAAAGAAACUUGCAAAAAAGUUACAUGAUGCAAUAAAUGGACACUAUGGAAAGUGUA